GCCGAGCGCAGGGUUCCGUGAGCAAGGAUUGGGUCGGUGUGCAGCGCUGCGGCCGCCCCUUUGGCGCUAGAACUCGCGGAGGGACGGUGUGCCGGGCGGCUCUCGGUUUCCCAGCUUCCCUGCCCGCCCCUUCCCAAAUUUCCCAAGACUUCAACCUGAAAGCGUGUGAAGCUGAGUUUCUAGAGCCUUUGUCUCCAUGAGAAAGAGCCUGAGAAUAAAUUUAUUGUAAAGGAAAUGGAGCCUGACAAUAUCAUUGGAGCACCUGGAUCCAGCCAAGCCUGAAGCCACUGUGUGUUUUUAUCAGAUGUUCAUUAUGACCAUUUUUAUACUUCACUCCUGAAGGAUAUUUAGCUUGUUUUGAGGCUUCUGCUGAUACCAACGAUGGGACAGUGAACUUCCUGGGUUGAAGGUAGAAUCUGCGUGUUCCCUUUUAUCAAGGACUGUACCACAACUACUGUGGAUUGAAGCACUCAUUACCCUACUUCCUCUUGAAGAGGGAAGGAGCUGGACACAAACUACCAAAUGAGAAGGUUUGAAAAGGAGCUGAACGAUCUGUUCGCGGAGACAGGCUGCUCAGGGCGGUGACCUUGGAAACGCAGCUGAACGGUUUCCCAAGACAGGCCCCAGGCCUCCUGGCCUCUCCUCUAAUGACCCUGAAAACAGGCAGCUUUGCAGGAGCAGCUAGAAAAUUCCAGAAACUGCAGGCCUUUGGGGCUGGGGGCUGGUUUUAACUUCCCCCAACCCCAUUGUACAGAUGCAGAGAGUGAGGCUGAGAGGCAGGAGAAAGAGACAGACCCAUAUGGGUCUGGUCUCCCCUCUUUCCCCAGAGUUAAGCUUGACUUGGCAAGAGGGUCAAGUGGCAUAUGAAGGUGCGGGAGGAUGUCCUCAGCCCCCGAAGUUCCAUUCGAGUCCCAGAAAGACCAGUGGCCAAUCUCAGGAUUUUAUAUUUCAACUGAGCUGUCCCCUCAGAUGAGGCUCCUUCUACCCUCCAUGUCCUGCCCCUUUAAGAAGAGACCAGUCCUUGCUUUAUGUCAUUCAUAGGAUUUAUUGUCACUUGCCAGUGGCUAGCAGGGGAAGGGGACACGCCCCCGAGCCUCACCACGGGGACAGGUGGCGCUGGGCCACCCAGCACUAUUUACACACGUUUCGCACGGGGCACGU